GAUGAACGCUAGCGGCAGGCUUAAUACAUGCAAGUCGAGGGGCAGCAGGACUGUAGCAAUACAGUUGCUGGCGACCGGCAAACGGGUGCGGAACACGUACGCAACCUUCCUUUAAGUGAGGGAUAGCCCAGGGAAACUUGGAUCAAUACCUCGUAAUAUUUGAGAGUGGCAUCACUCUCUAAUUAUAGCUCCGGCGCUUAAAGAUGGGCGUGCGACUGAUUAGGUAGUUGGCGGGGUAACGGCCCACCAAGCCUGCGAUCAGUAACUGGUGUGCGAGCGCGACCAGUCACACGGGCACUGAGACACGGGCCCGACUACUACGGGAGGCAGCAGUAAGGAAUAUUGGUAGAUGGACGCAAGGCUGAACCAGCCAUGCCGCGUGGAGGAUGAAGGUCCGCUGGAUUGUAAACUUCUUUUAUCUGGGAAGAAACCCAUAUUUUCUAGUGUGGUUGACGGUACCAGAUGAAUAAGCACCGGCUAACUCCGUGCCAGCCGCCGCCGUAAAAC
rnacentral:rRNA from 1 species